rnacentral:rRNA from 1 species
CGCGUAGGUGGUUCGUUAAGUUGGAUGUGAAAUCCCCGGGCUCAACCUGGGAACUGCAUUCAAAACUGACGAGCUAGAGUAUGGUAGAGGGUGGUGGAAUUUCCUGUGUAGCGGUGAAAUGCGUAGAUAUAGGAAGGAACACCAGUGGCGAAGGCGACCACCUGGACUGAUACUGACGUUGAGGCUCGAAGGCGUGGGGAGCAAACAGGAUUAGAUACCCUGGUA